CAAGGCAAAUUGAUGGUUUGUCCGGAUGCAAUUCUGAGACAGCAGAUGAUAUUGAACAGCAGCAACGAGGUCAAACUCCUGUGAAAAGAGGAGGAAGCCGAUGACAAUUCAAAGCUGGUCGACGACAACGAAGAUAUUGCCGCUUGGUUUACCUCAAUCGUCAGUUGUAGGAACAAAAACAAGAACAAAUAACCUCUGCAAAACAGGAAAUACAGUUCUGGAUGAGAAAUCAAAAAAGAAGCGUGAAAAUGAGAAAUUUCUUCUCUCAGAAAAUUCGUCGAAAACCUGGUAUGCAGAAACCAAAAAACAAAGGUGAUUUUCUCACAGCUAUGAAAAAAUAGAACUCACCAAGAAACUCGGCCAAUGGGAACAAUUAAUAUCAGAUUAUCGCUUGAAUGAAGAGAAACAACGAUAUGUGAGGUAUUUAUAAGACUCGAUUAAGUAUUUGAGUUUGUGAAGGAAACUAGUGAAAGAAGAAUUCUUCAUGAACUCGGACACGUGAUAGCUUCGCUGCUGAUUAUUAUGGAUGAGAGAUGACAUGUUGAUCCAAGAAUUUAUCCAAUUUCUCAGAAUUUUAGAAUGGGAUUUGAGGCAAAGAUGAAUUUUUU
rnacentral:lncRNA from 1 species